UCAUAGCUCAGCUGGUUAGAGCGUGGUGCUAAUAAUGCCAAUGUUGCAGGCUCAAUCCCCAUUUGUGACAG